rnacentral:rRNA from 1 species
GACGAACGCUGGCGGCGUGCUUAACACAUGCAAGUCGAACGGAAAGGCCCUGCUUUUGUGGGGUGCUCGAGUGGCGAACGGGUGAGUAACACGUGAGUAACCUGCCCUUGACUUUGGGAUAACUUCAGGAAACUGGGGCUAAUACCGGAUAGGAGCUCCUGCUGCUUGGUGGGGGUUGGAAAGUUUCGGCGGUUGGGGAUGGACUCGCGGCUUAUCAGCUUGUUGGUGGGGUAGUGGCUUACCAAGGCUUUGACGGGUAGCCGGCCUGAGAGGGUGACCGGCCACAUUGGGACUGAGAUACGGCCCAGACUCCUACGGGAGGCAGCAGUGGGGAAUACUGCACAAUGGGCGGAAGCCUGAUGCAGCAACGCCGCGUGCGGGAUGACGGCCUUCGGGUUGUAAACCGCUUUCGCCUGUGACGAAGCGUGAGUGACGGUAAUGGGUAAAGAAGCACCGGCUAACUACGUG